UACGUAGGGGCAAGCGUUGUCCGGAUUUACUGGGCGUAAAGAGCGCGCAGGCGGUCGUUCAAGUCGCGUGUGAAAGCCCCCGGCUCAACUGGGGAGGGUCACGCGAUACUGAUCGACUCGAAGGCAGGAGAGGGAAGUGGAAUUCCCGGUGUAGUGGUGAAAUGCGUAGAUAUCGGGAGAACACCAGUGGCGAAGGCGACUUCCUGGCCUGUUCUGACGCUGAGGCGCGAAAGCUAGGGGAGCAAACGGG
rnacentral:rRNA from 1 species